GCCCCGGUAGUUUAAUUGGUUAAAACUCCAAUCUCAUACAUUGGUAAUAAGAGUUCAAUUCUCUUCCAAGGCU